GAUGAAGAACGCAGCGAAACGCGAUACGUAAUGUGAAUUGCAAAUUCAGUGAAUCAUCGAGUCUUUGAACGCACAUUGCGCCCCCUGGUAUUCCGGGGGGCAUGCCUGUCCGAGCGUCAUUGCUGCCCUCAAGCACGGCUUGUGUGUUGGGCCCCGUCCUCCGAUCCCGGGGGACGGGCCCGAAAGGCAGCGGCGGCACCGCGUCCGGUCCUCGAGCGUAUGGGGCUUUGUCACCCGCUCUGUAGGCCCGGCCGGCGCUUGCCGAUCAACCCAAAUUUUUUAUCCAGGUUGACCUCGGAUCAGGUAGGGAUACCCGCUGAACUUAAGCAUAUCAAUAAGCGGAGGA
rnacentral:misc_RNA from 1 species